AGGCGCAGGCCGCCGCCGGGCUCCCGCAGCACGGUGGCGCAGUCUCCUCCGCAGAGCGCGCGAUCCGGGCAGUGCAACGCCCGCAGCAAGCCGGCCAACUGCCGCAGGAACUCUUCCUCUGUGUCCGGGCCUGAGGGACGAAGAAGCCAUCAGGGAGCAGCGGGUUCCGCGGCUCUACCCGCCGGCCACCCAGCUCCUCACGCACCGUGGCCGGCGCCCAGCACUGCGGUGCCCUCCUCUCGCCGCUCCAGAGCUCCCAGAGCCAUCAGCUCGGCCGCCAGCCGCGCGCACAGCGCCCUGAAGUCUGCACACGCGGGGCCCCGAGACGCCCCCUCCGGGAGGGCAUCGUACCUGCGGCGGGGCACGCGUCAGUGCGAGUCCCUCUGCGUCCGCGUCCCCAGGCGAGUGCGCCCUUCCCGUACCCCCAGGCCACACCACCGAAUCCUUUACCCCAGUGUCAGAAGGUCACCGGCUACCAGGGUCCCAUCCAUGGCAACUCCGUCUGCGGACCCGGUGCGCGCGCCGCCUUCCGCCUGGGAAAGGCUCCGCCCCUCCUCUCUCCGCCUCCUCCGCUCCCGCCGCUAUCCAAUCAUAUUCUCGUGCGAAGGCGCUUCGGCGCUCCUAUUGGCUUGGUCGCGCGCCACGCGCACCCUUCUGGUAAUUUGUCCAGUGUAAAUUUUACAGCUUGAGGUUUGGAUCUCCGAGGUCGCAGGAGGCUUGAGUGUCCCUACUGUCUAACACUCAAAAAAAUAAAAUAUUAAAAAAGCAAAAAGCAACUUAACUUUCCCACUGUUUUUACAUUGAAAUUUCUUUUGGAGGCAGGGUCUCCAUAUAUACAUAUAUGUAGCUCAGGCUGGCUUCUUAGUCCUGCUUCCUCCUUCUGUUUGCUGGUUGACAGACGUGUGACACGCCCAGCUGCCCUUUGUUCUUAAUACACCCCAGACCAAAAGUCCCAUCCGACUUGUUUUUCUUCCACUUUAGGAUUAGAAUAUCGGCACACCUUCACAUCCACUCUCCCACCACAGCCAGACCCUCCUUCCACCUCACAGUGGGCUCCAGUGUUAGCCAUCCUCUCUGCCUCUGUAGGCCUUCGAAAGAAAAAGCAGAUGCCAUUGAGAAAGUCCAUCGUAAGGGAGAGGCAAGCCGAUGGGACUGGGGUUAACUCCAUUUGCCAGCUAAUGUUCCUGCCAAACUGGUUUUCCAUCCAUGCGAUUGGAGUCCAAGGGCAUAUAUUUUUAUUGUAUGUGCAUGAA
ensembl:antisense